CCAAUAGCGUAUAUUAAAGUUGUUGCAGUUAAAAAGCUCGUAGUUGAAUUUCGGGGUUAGUAGGUUGGUCAUGCCUCUGGUAUGUACUGGUCUCACUGAUUCCUCCUUCCUGAUGAAUCUUAAUGCCAUUUAUUUGGUGUUUUGGGGAAUUUGGACUGUUACUUUGAAAAAAUUAGAGUGUUUAAAGCAAGCUAACGCUUGAAUACAUUAGCAUGGAAUAAUGAAAUAGGACGUUCGAUCCUAUUUUGUUGGUUUCUAGGAUUGACGUAAUGAUUAAUAGGGAUAGUUGGGGGCAUUAGUAUUCAAUUGUCAGAGGUGAAAUUCUUGGAUUUAUUGAAGACUAACUACUGCGAAAGCAUUUGCCAAGGAUGUUUUCAUUAAUCAAGAACGAAAGUUAGGGGAUCGAAGACGAUCAGAUACCGUCGUAGUCUUAACCAUAAACUAUGCCGACUAGGGAUCGGAUGAUGUUAAUUUUUUAAUGACUCAUUCGGCGCCUUACG
rnacentral:rRNA from 1 species